rnacentral:lncRNA from 1 species
GUUUUUGCAACCCCUACAACACAGGUUGAUUGGAAAGGUCUCUCUCCUGGAUAACAACAAUUCAAUGUGCCUUGACAUUUUAAUAGCCUGCCGUCCUGGUGAACACAAUCGAGCAAGGCAGUGAAGCAAAAAUCAUUAGUGGCUGGACUCAGACACAUCACGCUCCAGUUUGGGUUCCAAGGUGCUUCUCUCUGGAUUUUCACCUGCCUUGCCAAAAAUGAUUGAUUACGCUGGGCCAACUGGGUGUCCGGCAAUACCCAACAAAUGACUUUGGCCCCUAACAGCAGGCCUUGGCCGGAAAGAAAUCAAUAUUUCACCAUUAAAAUCUAUCAAAGAAGAGUUAAGGCACCAUCUGUCCCUGCCGCCUCUCUAUGGUGUGUGAACAUUAAAUCCGACACUUGUACUACAUGGGUAAUCAAUAUAUAGUGGUUCACAGAUCAUUUGUGGUCCCCUUUUAGCAGUGAUGGAUGUCUGGAAUCGUUGUGAUUCAUUUUGUCAGACCAUUAAACAAGAUUCUGUC